GGUUAUAGCUCAGUGGUAGAGCACUUGCCUCACAUGCAAGGCACUGGGUUCAAUCCUCAGCACCA
rnacentral:tRNA from 1 species